UACGUAGGGUGCAAGCGUUGUCCGGAAUUAUUGGGUGUAAAGAGCUCGUAGGCGGUCUGUCGCGUCGGCUGUGAAAACUCGGGGCUCAACCCUGAGCCUGCAGUCGAUACGGGCAGACUAGAGUCCGGUAGGGGAGACUGGAAUUCCUGGUGUAGCGGUGAAAUGCGCAGAUAUCAGGAGGAACAUCGGUGGCGAAGGCGG
rnacentral:rRNA from 1 species